UACGUAGGGAGCAAGCGUUGUCCGGAAUCAUUGGGCGUAAAGCGCGCGUAGGCGGCCCUGUAAGUCCGUUGUGAAAGUCAAAGGCUCAACCUUUGAAAGCCGAUGGAUACUGCAGGGCUAGAGUCCGGAAGAGGCGAGUGGAAUUCCGGGUGUAGCGGUGGAAUGCGUAGAGAUCCGGAAGAACACCGGUGGCGAAGGCGGCCUGCUGGGCAGUAGCUGACGCUGAUGCGCGACAGCGUGGGGAGCAAACAGG
rnacentral:rRNA from 1 species